rnacentral:rRNA from 1 species
CCAACAGGGAUUGCCUCAGUAACGGCGAGUGAAGCGGCAACAGCUCAAAUUUGAAAGCUGGCUCUUGCAGGGCCCGCGUUGUAAUUUGUAGAGGAUGCUUCGGGUGCGGCGCUGGUCUAAGUUCUUUGGAACAAGACGUCAUAGAGGGUGAGAAUCCCGUAUGUGACUAGCUGCCUGUGCCUGUGUGAAGCUCCUUCGACGAGUCGAGUUGUUUGGGAAUGCAGCUCAAAAUGGGUGGUGUACUUCAUCUAAAGCUAAAUAUUGGCCAGAGACCGAUAGCGCACAAGUAGAGUGAUCGAAAGAUGAAAAGCACUUUGGAAAGAGAGUUAAACAGUACGUGAAAUUGUUGAAAGGGAAGCGCUUGCAAUCAGACUUGCGCGGCGUCGAUCAACCUGGGUUCUCCCUGGUGCACUCGGCGCUGCUCAGGCCAGCAUCAGUUUCAGCGGUUGGAUAAAGGCCUAGGGAACGUGGGUUACUUCGGUGACUGUUAUAGCCCUAGGUGCAAUGCAGCCUGCUGGGACUGAGGACCGCGCUUCGGCUAGGAUGCUGGCGUAAUGGUUGUAAGCGACCCGUCUUGAAACACGGACCAAGGAGUGUAAUAUUUAUGCGAGUUUUUGGGUGUUAAACCCAUAAGCGUAAUGAAAGUGAACGGAGGUGAGAACCCUUAAGGGUGCAUCAUCGACCGAUCCUGAUGUCUUCGGAUGGAUUUGAGUAAGAGCAUAACUAUUGCGACCCGAAAGAUGAUGAUCUAUACUUGAAUAGGGUGAAGCCAGAGGAAACUCUGGUGGAGGCUCGCAGCGGUUCUGACGUGCAAAUCGAUCGUCAAAUUUGGGUAUAGGGGCGAAAGACUAAUCGAA